AAACAAAAGAGACAAAGGCUGGGGGAGCUAAGCUCCUUGCCAGCUGUGAGGAAAGCUGCUGCCAAGAAGGACUAUCUGUGACUAAGAACAUGUGUAACAGCAACAGAAAGGAGUUAGAGGCAGAUACCCAGUUUUUUCAUAACUCCUCAGUGAAUACCAGCUGGGCCUGUUGGGGAAGAUGAAACAGGAAAGCCUUAUAAAUAUGAUUGCCUGACAAAAGAUUUUGGGAAUAUGAAAACUAUAAGCGACAUCGAAAUGAAAGCCACCUUUGAAUUACCAAGUCUUAGUUACUGAACAACUGGAAAACAAUGGUAUGGCCGACUGAAGAGAUCUCUCGUCUACGCCCGGUCCAGACUGAACCCCAGAGCCCCCGCAUGGGCCCAUCAAGUUUAACAUUUUAUCUGACUGUGGUAUGAUGACUGAAGGUAUUUGGCACAUUUUGUUGAUGUGUAGCUGCCCUGGGAAUGAAGCAUCAUAAUGCCUACCUACAAUAACUGCCAUUUGGGACCCAAGUUUUGUUACAGAUGCAUUUGAUCUGACAUAGGCUCUUGGAACAGGGUUAAUAAAUAGCAUCACUCUUAAAUACAGCAUAAACACAGUAGUCAUAGUCAUUUUGAUUCAACAACAGCCAGGAGAGUAUGUAUUACCUGCAUGUUUUGUCUCAGGAGUGAUAACCUUCUUUAGGUUUGCAGGUAAACAUUCUCCAGGCACUGUUUGCUAGCAGGACCAGUACAACAGGCUGACUACAUAGUCAGCUCUCUGUCAUCCAGGACAAA
rnacentral:lncRNA from 13 species